CGUAGGCAGUUGGUGUGGUAUUAGUCAAAGCCACUGACCUGAGAGCAUCAAAGGAUCAGGGGCUAUGGACGAUGUUCAAGAGUACCCAACGUACAUACGGUACCUGGGAUACCAUGACUUUCAAAGCUUCAAGAAGUACAGAGUAUGCCAAGGGAAUAAAGGACUUGAAGUUUUUGAAGUCAUUGAUGGGAGUGAAAUACCUGAAGAAAGAAUAUGUGGAGAACAAGUUUAUAUUUCUGAAGGAGAGAUGAUUAAAUCUGGAGAAAAACGCAAGGAAGAUAGGAAACACGGGGAGAAAUACUUGGGAAUGACAGCCAGAUUAGAAAAAGAGUCAGCCAAGUUCCCAAACAAAAAUGACAAUACUCAAGUGAAGAACGAGACUACUGCAUUUCUAGAUUCUAUAUUUGGUGAGUUACCUCCAAAGUCUACAAUCAAGAUAAAUCUCCUCUUCCCCAAACCUUCAUUUCCCAAUCAGAGAAAGAGCUACUUCAAAAUGUCUGUCUAAAGAAGGGGAUAAAAUGUGGGGAUUUCGUGGAGCCAGGGAUUCUGGGAGCAACAUCACUUCUUCUGGCACUGAACGACUUAUCAUUUGUGUUUCCUACAUACCUCUGCACCUCUAAAACGUGAAUUAAAAACUGUCAUCCUCAA